rnacentral:rRNA from 1 species
UGAGUAACACGUGGGUAAUCUACCCUUGGGACUGGGAUAACGUUUGGAAACGAACGCUAAUACCGGAUGAUACAUAUUUAGAUAACUAUUUAUGUUAAAAGGAGCUUCGGCUCUACCUUUGGAUGAGCUUGCGGUGUAUUAGCUAGUUGGUGGGGUAAUGGCCUACCAAGGCAACGAUGCAUAGCCGGACUGAGAGGUCGAACGGCCACACUGGAACUGAGAUACGGUCCAGACUCCUACGGGAGGCAGCAGUUAGGAAUAUUCGUCAAUGGGGGAAACCCUGAACGAGCAAUGCCGCGUGAGUGAUGACAGUCAUUAUGAUUGUAAAACUCUGUUGUAAGGGAAGAAACCUUAUCAUAGGUAAUGAUGAUAAGCUGACGGUACCUUGCCAGAAAGCCCCGGCUAACUACGUGCCAGCAGCCGCGGUAAUACGUAGGGGGCGAGCGUUAUCCGGAUUUAUUGGGCGUAAAGCGUGUGUAGGCGGUUUGUUAAGUAUAUGAUUAA